GUUGUAGCAAGCAUGGGCAUUCCAACGUAUACGUGCGGCAAUAACAGCAGACGAAGAAAGGUGUUUGCUUGCGGAAGCGAACAAACACUGCAUAUAGCUAAUACGAAAUUGGCUUUGAAGCAAAAUGGUAAACGGUACCCGCCAAAAAGAUUGUACUUGUUGGCACGUGGAAAAAUUCGCCAUUUACUGGAGUGGAGGAACUAUAUUAAAUGGCGUCAGUAUUUUGGCAAAAGGAGAUCGAAUUUCGUAAGUAGCUUUGGAUUCGAUCAUUUCUGAAUUUCGUAUUAAUCAACAGGCGGCUUUGAAUAAAUGUUACAGUGUUGUGGAUGGGCUAACUAGAAUGGACCUGAUGUUGUAGAAUGCUAAUUCUUGAUUUUGUUUGCAUGAGGUUUUAUUUUGUAAGACAUUAGAUGCAGAGAUGAAGCAUGUUACAAAACGUGGCAUCGCGGUAGCAUGCAAGAAAGAGGAGCGCAAGGAAAUCACAGCCGAAGAGGAGAAUUUACUCUGCAUGGGAGAAAGGACUACAGGGUGCAUAAAAAAAAGGAGACCUUUAGAAAUCAACCAUAUUGUAAAAAUUUGAAUGCCUUUUCAAUUGCACAUAUGCUGAACCGUG